rnacentral:rRNA from 1 species
CCUACGGGAGGCAGCAGUGGGGAAUAUUGCACAAUGGGGGAAACCCUGAUCCAGCGACGCCGCGUGAGUGAAGAAGUAUUUCGGUAUGUAAAGCUCUAUCAUCAGGGAAGAAACAGACGGUACUUCAUUAAGAAGCCCCGACUAACUACGUCCCAGCAGCCGCGGUAAUACGUAGGGGGCAAGCGUUAUCCGGAUUUACUGGGUGGAAAGGGAGCGUAGACGGUAGUACAAGUCUGCAGUGAAAUGCCGGGGCUUAACCACUGAACUGCUUUGGAAACUGUGCAGCUAGAGUGCAGGAGAGGUAGGUGGAAUUCCUAGUGUAGCGGUGAAAUGCGUAGAUAUUAGGAGGAACACCAGUGGCGAAGGCGGCUUACUGGACUGUAACUGACGUUGAGGCUCGAAAGCGUGGGGAGCAAACAGGAUUAGAUACCCUAGUAGUC